rnacentral:rRNA from 1 species
AGCGAACGCUGGCGGCAGGCCUAACACAUGCAAGUCGAACGAACCCUUCGGGGUUAGUGGCGGACGGGUGAGUAACACGUGGGAACGUGCCUUUAGGUUCGGAAUAACUCAGGGAAACUUGUGCUAAUACCGAAUGUGCCCUUCGGGGGAAAGAUUUAUCGCCUUUAGAGCGGCCCGCGUCUGAUUAGCUAGUUGGUGAGGUAAAGGCUCACCAAGGCUACGAUCAGUAGCUGGUCUGAGAGGAUGACCAGCCACAUUGGGACUGAGACACGGCCCAAACACCUACGGGAGGCAGCAGUGGGGAAUCUUGCGCAAUGGGCGAAAGCCUGACGCAGCCAUGCCGCGUGGAUGAUGAAGGUCUUAGGAUUGUAAAAUCCUUUCCCCGGUGAAGAUAAUGACUGUAGCCGGAGAAGAAGCCCCGGCUAACUUCGUGCCAGCCGCCGCCGUAAUAC